rnacentral:rRNA from 1 species
GUAAUAGCUCACUAGUCGAGUCGGCCUGCGCGGAAGAUGUAACGGGGCUAAACCAUGCACCGAAGCUGCGGCAAUGACGCUUAGGCGUUAUUGGGUAGGGGAGCGUUCUGUAAGCGGUUGAAGGUGUACUGUGAGGUAUGCUGGACGUAUCAGAAGUGCGAAUGCUGACAUAAGUAACGAUAAAGCGGGUGAAAAGCCCGCUCGCCGGAAGAC